UCAGGAUGAACGCUGGCGGCGUGCUUAACACAUGCAAGUCGAACGGUGAAGGGGAGCUUGCUCUCUGGAUCAGUGGCGAACGGGUGAGUAACACGUGAGCAAUCUGCCCCUGACUCUGGGAUAACAGUUGGAAACAGCUGCUAAUACUGGAUACGAGACGUGAAGGCAUCUUCAACGUCUGGAAAGAAUUUCGGUCAGGGAUGAGCUCGCGGCCUAUCAGCUUGUUGGUGAGGUAACGGCUCACCAAGGCGUCGACGGGUAGCCGGCCUGAGAGGGUGACCGGCCACACUGGGACUGAGACACGGCCCAGACUCCUACGGGAGGCAGCAGUGGGGAAUAUUGCACAAUGGGCGAAAGCCUGAUGCAGCAACGCCGCGUGAGGGACGACGGCCUUCGGGUUGUAAACCUCUUUUAGCAGGGAAGAAGCGAAAGUGACGGUACC
rnacentral:rRNA from 1 species